GUGGGGAAUAUUGCACAAUGGGGGAAACCCUGAUGCAGCAACGCCGCGUGAAGGAUGAAGGUUUUCGGAUCGUAAACUUCUUUGAUUGGGGACGAAAAAAGACGGUACCCAAGGAACAAGCCACGGCUAACUACGUGCCAGCAGCCGCGGUAAUACGUAGGUGGCGAGCGUUGUCCGGAAUUACUGGGUGUAAAGGGCGUGUAGGCGGGGAUGCAAGUCAGAUGUGAAAUUCCGGGGCUUAACUCCGGAGGUGCAUCUGAAACUGUAUUUCUUGAGUGCUGGAGAGGGAAGCGGAAUUCCUAGUGUAGCGGUGAAAUGCGUAGAUAUUAGGAGGAACACCAGUGGCGAAGGCGGCUUUCUGGACAGUAACUGACGCUGAGGCGCGAAAGCGUGGGGAGCAAACAGGAUUAGAAACCCCAGUAGUCC
rnacentral:rRNA from 1 species